GGUGACUUGGCUCAGUAGUUAGCUCUUAGGUCUCGUAAUCGAAAGGUCUCGGGAUCGAAUCCCGCUAGACGCUG
rnacentral:tRNA from 1 species